AUUGAACGCUGGCGGCAGGCCUAACACAUGCAAGUCGAACGAGUGGCGGACGGGAGAGUAAUGUCUGGGAAACUGCCUGAUGGAGGGGGAUAACUACUGGAAACGGUAGCUAAUACCGCAUACCAUCGGAUGUGCCCAGAUGGGCUUAGCUAGUAGGUGGGGUAAAGGCUACCCUAGGCGACGAUCCCUAGCUGGUCUGAGAGGAUGACCAGCCACACUGUAACUUCAGCGCGGUCCAGACUCUUACGAGAGUCAGCAGUGGGAAAUAUUGCACAAUGGGCGCAAUCCUGAUGCAGCCAUGCCGGGUGUAUGAAGAAGGCCUUCGGGUCGUAAAGUACUGUCAGCGGGGAGGCGUUACCCACAGAAGAGGCACCGGCUAACUCCGUGCAAGCCGCCGCGGUAAUUC
rnacentral:rRNA from 1 species